rnacentral:rRNA from 1 species
GUGAGGAAUAUUGGACAAUGGGCGCAAGCCUGAUCCAGCCAUGCCGCGUGCAGGAAGACGCAUCUAUGGUGUGUAAACUGCUUUUGUACGGGAAGAAACACUCCCUCGUGAGGGAGCUUGACGGUACCGUAAGAAUAAGGAUCGGCUAACUCCGUGCCAGCAGCCGCGGUAAUACGGUGGAUCCAAGCGUUAUCCGGAAUCAUUGGGUUUCAAGGUUCCGUAGGCGGGUUAAUAAGUCAGUAGUGAAAGCCCAUCGCUCAACGAUGGAACGGCCAUUGAUACUGUUAAACUUGAAUUACAAGGAAGUAACUAGAAUAUGUAGUGUAGCGGUGAAAUGCUUAGAUAUUACAUGGAAUACCAAUUGCGAAGGCAGAUUACUACUUGUGGAUUGACGCUGAUGGACGAAAGCGUGGGGAGCGAACAGGAUUAGAUACCCGGGUAGUCC